CUCUCUCUGUCACUUGCAUCUUCUGAUCCUUUCCUCCAAUUUUCAGGUACUCCUUUUUUUUUUAGUUCCUCCCUAAUUUCAUAUUUUUCCGUUAUCUUUUGUCUUCCUUAGUUUGAGUGAGGUUCUAUUUGGGCAUCUAAAGUUUUCGUCGUCUUAUUUUUUUCCGGCUAUUCAUAAUUAUUGGAGAUGACAUCGUAAACUAUUGAGCUGGAAGUAAUCUAAUUUAACUUUAAAAAUUAGUUAAGUUGGUUCUCAAAAAGUGAAACGCGACAGUUAAUUUGAGACACAGAAAAUAUUACUUUGUUAUCGAUUUGAUUCAUUGGUCUGUAUAUGGACUUCCUUCCCCCACCUACCCCUACAAACUAGUAAAGCUGAUUUUUGCUGCUUCACCUCUUUAUGUCCCUCUUUACGUUGUUAGUAUCUGGAUUUUGGCCUCUUUCUCCUUUUCUCACCAUUUUCUACAAUAUAACAACUAAUACCAGUAGUAGUAUCUCUCCGAAAAACAAACCAAUAUUAAAUUUUGAAACAUCAAUUGAUCAGAAAUAUCUUGUGGUUUUAGAAAAAAAAAUAAAAAAUUUACAUUGAAUUUUCUUAUUGCUUUCUUUGUCAGAUCAUCCAUUAUUAUUGUCUCAGCUAUUUUGUUAAUUCUCAUUGCUUUAUUUCAUAUUUCAGUCAUUUUCGUUGCAAUUAUUGUUCUUGCAUGUGGACUUUGGUAGUUGUUAUUUGCUUUCCUUUGGUUAUCGCUGCUUAAUUUUUUGGGUUAUUGAGUGAUAUUUUUACUUUGCACAUAAAAAUGCAUCUUCUACUGUUAAUUCCAGUUUUUUUUUUAUCAGUGAUAUGUGGCUGUAGACUUUAAAUUCUUCCAUUAAUAAUGGAGAGAAAGAGAGACACUAAAAUGGAAAGUGUACUCUUUUAAGGAAAAGUUCACUAAUUCUCCCACAUUGGUGGGAGAAGGGAACUUUGAAGUGUUUAUAAUAAGCACUUACUCCACAUGGAUAGUGAGGCAAAAACAAGGUGGUGCCUCGCGCCGUUGUCGUCGCUCGGCUUCAGCCUUGGCUUUGGAUCAAUUGAUGAGAUCUAUUUUUUAAGACAAAUUUUAUUUCUUUUGAUCGUCCAUUUAUGUGCAUGCAUGCAGUGGCGGAAACACUGUUUCGAAAUGCAGUGCAGAAGCGAAUUGAUGGUUCGGAAGGGAUGCAAUCCUUCAACGAAAUGACACACUGAUUCAUGAGAUGGUAUGCCUUUUCGGAAAAGACACAUUCUUAGGAGGAAUAGACAUGAUUUUUCAGAAAGGUUAUACCUUUUAAGUGAACCAUUGCCACCUUUCAAAAGAGGCACCUGAUGGCAAUAAAACCUACUUUCAUCCACAGGUUUUGGUACGAAAAUUUUUUGAAAUACAAACUCUUCUUGUCUUCAAAAACAUUCUGUGUGAUCAAUCAAAUCGUUGAGUGAGUUCGUUGAAUUCAACAAUUUGAGAUACCGCAAUUGUUCGGAUCAAUUUUUUUUUUAAAUAAAAUACAUUUGGUUCAAUAUGUAUGGAAAGUGUGAAUAGAAAAUGGAGGAAAAAUAGUGGAGAGAAAGAGAGAUACCAAAAUGGAAAGUGUACUCUUUUAAGGGAAAGUUCACUAAUUCUCCCACAUUGGUGGGAGAAGGGAACUUUGAAGUGUUUAUAAUAAGAAACACUUACACCACAUAGAUAGUGAGGCAAGAACAAGGUGGUGCCUCACCCUGCCGUCGUCGCUCGGCUUGGCUUCGGCUUCGGAUCGAUCAGAUUUAUUUUUUUAGACAAAUUUUAUUUCUUUUGAUCGUUCAUUUAUAUGCAUGCAUGCAGUGGCGGAAACACUAUUUCAAAAUGCAGUGCAGAAGCGAAUUUAUGCUUCAAAAAUGAUACAACCCUUCAACGAAAUGACACACUGAUUCAUGAAAUGGUAUGCCUGUUCGGAAAAGAUGCAUUCUUUGAACGAAUAGACAUGAUUUUUCAAAAAGGUUACACCUUUUAAGUGAACCAUUGCCACCUUUCAGAAGAGGAACCUGAAGGCUAUAAAAACCUGCUUUCAUCCACAAGUUUUGGUACAAAAAUUUUUUGAAAUACAAAUUUUUCUAGUCUUCAAAAAUAUAUUGUGUGAUCAACAAUUUGAAGUACCGCUAUUGUUCAGAUUGAAGAUAAUUUUAUCUUAGGAGGAAGAUUCCAUAACCUCGGGUGCAAUGAGGAGAAUUGUUCUUUAAGGACACUCCGUGAAGUCGGGGGACUUGGUCUUAAAAUUCUGUUUAAUCUUUUUCUGAAAUUUGACAUACUUCUUGGAUAGAUUAUUUAUAAUCUUGUGUUGAAGGUGUUAAGGAACUUCAUAAGUGUUCUUGUUUAUACAUGAACUUACGUUGAAGUUGUUGUUGCAUUUAUACAAAUUCUUCUACCCGAAAUAUUAUAAAUAACAAUCUUAAGUUAAAGAUUUGAAGACAAAAAUUUAACUAGUGAUUUGAAGACAAAAUCUUUAUCACAAGUUCAAGAUCACUCGAUUUGAAUUUAACUAGUAAUUUGAAGACAAAAUCUUUAUCACAAGUUCAAGAUCACUCGGUUGACGAUUUUAAGUGAUAAAAACUUCAUCGUUUUACUAGAAACAAGAAGUGUUUAAAGUUGCUGCAACUUUUUAAUAAGUAUUUCGAUAUACUAAAGGUACUGUCUUGUGUUGACAGGAAAAUGACGACUGAUAGUCAAAUGCAUGAUGCUGGAACGACUAUGGCGGCAUCUAGUAUUGUCACGACGAGUCGUACUAAUUCUUCGCAAGCUAUGGCAUCGAUGGAGAAACCCGAAAAGUUCAUGGGUAUUGACUUCAAGAGAUGGCAGCAGAAAAUGUUCUUCUACCCCACCACUCUCUAUCUUCAAAAGUUCACGGUUGAGGAAGCUCCGAAGGUGCCUAAGGGAACCUCUGAAAAGGAACGUUUUAUGCUUGUGGAGGCUUAGAAACACUCAGACUUCCUUUGCAGGAUUUAUAUCUUGAGUGGCCUCUUAGAUGACCUUUACAAUGUAUAUAGCGGAACCAAGACUGCAAAAGAGUUAUGGGGAGCAUUAGAACGGAAGUACAAGACGGAGGAUGCCUAAACUAAAAAGUUCUUUGUUGCAAGAUUUCUGGAGUACAAAAUGAUAGACAAUAAAUAUGUUGUUUCACAAGUGUAGGAACUGCAAGUGAUUAUCCAUGAUCUCCUAGCGGAAGGUAUAAUUUUGACAAGUAAAUUUGUUGAACAAUUUAAAUAUGUUCUUAGUAUUCACAUGAACUUUAUUACAGGUUUGAUUGUGAAUGAAGCAUUUCAAGUAGCAACAAUAAUUGAGAAGCUACCACCAAUGUGGAAAGACUUUAAGAACUACUUGAAACACAAACGCAAGAAGAUGUCAGUCGAAGAUCUGAUUGUACGAUCACACAUUGAAGAAGAUAAUAAGGCUGUAGAAAGAAGGCCAAGAGAUAAUUCUGCAAUGGGUGGAGCAACCAUUGUAGAAGAUGACCAAAACAACUCCAAAAAGCGAAAGAAAGUUGGAAAUGAAAGCAAUCAAUCUAAGAAGUAGUUCAAGGGAAAGUGCUUCAACUGUGGCAAGAUUGACCACAAGUCUACGGAUUAUCGUGCCCCGAAGAAAGGGAAGAAGAAGGACCAAGCAAAUCUGGCUGAGUAUAAGAAAGAAAUGGAUGAUCUGUGUGCUAUUCUUUUCGAAUGCAACUUGGUGGGAAAUCCUCGCAAAAGGUGGAUGGAUUCUGGUGCCACCCACCAUGUUUGUGCUAACAAGGAGUUGUUUUCGACAUUCGCUCAGGCUCAAGUAGAAGAAAAGAUCUACAUGGCAAACUUCGCUACUGCUAAAGUAGAAGGAACAAGAAAUGUGUGCUUGAAGAUGACUUCUGGCAAAGUGAUGACACUUAAUAAUGUCUUGUAUGUUCCGUAGUUACCAAAGAACUUGAUUUCAGUUUCACUUCUAGACAAAAGUGGAUUCAAAUGUGUAUUUAUUUUUGAAAAAAUUGUACUUAGUAAAGGAGAAGUGUAAGUAGGAUAAGGCUACCUCAAUGAGGGCCUAUUCAAAAUGAAUGUUGAAAUCAAUAAAAGUUCAAAUUCUUCUUACUUUCUUGAGUCUUCCAAUUUGUGGCAUGAACGUUUAGGCCAUAUAAAUUACAAAACGUUGCGUAAAAUGAUUAACUUAGAAGUUUUGUCAAACUUUGAGUGCAAUAAAUCAAAGUGUCAAACGUGUGUGGAAUCAAAGUAUGCUAAGCAUCCAUAUAAGUUCGUUGAAAGAUAUUCCAAUCCCUUAGACUUAAUACACACUGACAUUUGUGGUAUGAAGUCAACACCAUCACGAGGUGGAAAAAAGUAUUUCAUAACUUUUAUUGACGAUUGCACUAGAUAUUGUUAUGUCUACUUGCUAAAUAGUAAGGAUGAAACAAUAGAUGCGUUUAGGCAAUACAAAACUGAAGUUGAAAAUCAGUUAGAGAAAAAGAUCAAAACUAUAAGAAGUGAUAGGGGCGGAGAAUAUGAAUCUCCCUUCGCCGAAAUAUGUGUAGAGAAUGGAAUUGUCUAUCAAACUACGGCCCCAUAUUCACUUCAAUCUAAUAAAAUUGCGGAAAGAAAAAAUUGAACUUUGAAGGAAAUGAUGAAUACCUCACUUAUAAGUUCAGGUUUACCGCAAUACUUGGGGGGUAUCUUUACAGCCAACCAAAUACUCAAUAGAGUUCCCCAUAGUAAGACACGAUCAAUUUAUUUUGAAAAAUGGAAAGAAGGAAAUCGAACUUGAAAUAUUUCAAAGUGUGGGGUAUCUAGCAAAGGUCCAAGUUCCUAAUGCCUAAAAGGGUUAAGAUAGUACCUAAAACGGUGGACUGCAUGUUCAUAGGAUAUGCUAAAAGUAGUAAAGCAUGUCAGUUUUUAGUUUAUAAAUUCAAACAUCCGGAUAUUAAUGAAAAUACAGUAAUUGAGUAAGAUAAUGUUUAAUUCUUUGAAAAUAUUUACCCGUAUAAAACUAGACAUGAACAGUUUAGUGGAGGGUCUAAACAACCUCGAGAUGAACUAAGUGAGAAUGUAGAGAAUCCAAGACAUAGUACACGUCAAAGAAUGUCAACUUCAUUUGAUCGAAUUUUGUAAUAUUUCUCUUAGAAAAUGAGCCUCAAACAUUUAAGGAAGCAAUGGCGUUUUUGAACUCAUCUUUUUGGAAAGAGGCAGUCGAUAGUGAGAUUGAUUCAAUUUUAAGCAACCAUACGUGAGAGUUAGUUGAUCUUCCUCCAGGAAAUAAACCUUUAGAUUCUAAAUGGAUCUUCAAAAGAAAAAUGAAAACUGAUGGUACUAUUGAUAAGUACAAGACAAGACUUGUUGUAAAAGGCUUCAAACAAAAGGAAGACCUUGAUUACUUUGAUACAUACUCGCCGGUAACAAGGAUAACGUCGAUUCGAAUGUUAAUUGACUUGGUGGUGGUAUAUGAUCUUGAAAUCAAUCAAAUGAAUGUGAAAUGCGGAAGAAAUUUACAUAAAAAAAAUUUGAGGGUUUUGUGGUUCCGGGAAAAGAAAAUAAGGUGUGUAAACUUGCUAAGUCAUUUUAUGGACUAAAAUAAACACCUAAGCAAUGGCAUGCAAAGUUUGACCAAACCAUGUUGGCAAACGGAUUCAAAAUUAAUGAAUGUGAUAAAUCUGUUUAUAUUAAAGACACUCCAACACACCAAGUCAUUGUGUGUUUAUAUGUGGAUGAUAUGUUGGUCAUCAGUAGAGACACUUCAGACAUAAAUGCAACGAAACGAAUGCUCGAGAGAAAGUUCGAUAUGAAAGGCCUUGGAGUUGCGGAUGUGAUCUUAGGGAUAAGAAUACAUAAAACUCCACAAGAGUUGGCAUUGUCACAGUCUCAUUAUAUCAAAAAGGUACUUGGCAAAUUUAAGUAUAUGGAAUUCGGUAUUUCCAAGACUCCAUUGGAUGUGAGCUUUGCACUUCGAAAGAAUGAAAGUGAAAGUGACUCACAAUUAGAGUACGCAAGGAUGUUUAAUAUAUAUAAUGAACUGUACACGACCAAACAUAGCAUGCACUAUAGGUAAGUUGAGUCUGUACACGAGUAAUCUUAAUAAAACACAUUGGAUGACAAUGAAAAGAGUUUUGGGUAUCUUAAAUACACUAAAGACUAUGCUUUGCAUUAUAAUAAAUAUCCUGCGGUACUUGAAGGAUAUAGUGAUGCAAAUUGGAUCACCGGAUCAAACGAAGUAAAAUCCACGAGUGGAUAUGUAUUUACUAUCGAUGGAGGAGCGGUCUCUUGGAAAUCAUCCAAACAGAUUUGUAUUGCUCGCUCUACAAUGGAAUUCGCAUUGGAUAAAGUCGGUGAAGAAGCAGAAUGACUCCAGAAUUUCUUUGAAGAUAUUUCUUACUGUCCCAAACCAGUGGCACCAGUAUGUAUAUACUGUGAUAGCCAAACGACAAUAGGUAGGGCAGGGAGCAUGAUGUACAACGAUAAAUUUCGUCACAUAAGAUGGAGACAUAAUACCGUUCGAGAACUUCUCCCUAGUGGAAUUAUCAAUAUUGACUAUGUGAAGUCAAAGGAUAAUGUGUCGGAUCCACUUACAAAAGGCCUAUUUAGAGAAGGAGUUGAGAGACCAUCCAAGGAAAUGGAUUUAAGCCCUAGGAUAAGUCAGCAUGGUGGUAAAUCUACCUAGCAGACUGGAGAUCCCAAGAGCUAGGUUCAAGGAGAUCAAACAAAGUUAUGUCUGACAGGUUCAACAUGGUCAAAUACCCAACCCAUUCUCAUGAUGUAGACAAUGUUUAGUAAACAACGAUAAGACUUAGGGUGUGAAAUCUUUUAAUGAUUAUCUAAAUUUGGCAGAUUUAACCAAAUAGUUUAAUAUAUAGGAUUGAACAUUUAGAAAUCACUUAUGUGAGGGUGAAGUGGAAGCUUCUUCAAGGAGAAUGUUAGUAAAGGCCUAUUCUCUAAGCUCUCAUGAAAUCAGGACAUGUUCAUGGCUUAAAGGAACAAAACCAUGAGAACCAUAAAUGGUAAAAGGCUGGUUGUGUGACAUGUGUUGUCUAGGUGUACAUUAAAGCUCGACAGUUCAAAGAUAUCAAAUCUAUCGAUUGACCGAGUGCAUCCGAUGUAAGUUCAAAGGGAAAUCCACUUAUCCAGAUGCAAUCAGUCUUUGUUUGAUGAUCACAUACUUGUCCGUAAAAUUUUAUGAAAAAGUAUCCAUUCCUCAUUCAUGUGGGGAUUGUUGGGUUCAAUAUGUAUGAAAAGUGUGAAUGAAAAAUAGAGGAAAAAUAGUGGAGAGGAAGAGAGACACCAAAAUGGAAAGUGUACUCUUUUAAGGAAAAGUUCGUUAAUUCUCCCACAUUGGUGGGAGAAGGGAACUUUGAAGUAUUUAUAAUAAGAAACACUUACUCCACAUGGAUAUUUAGGCAAAAACAAGGUGGUUCCUCGCGCCAUAGUUGCUCGCUAGCUCCGCUCUGAUUCGGCUUCGAAUUUGGAUUUGGAUUUGGAUUGGCAAAUGAUCGAUCGAUGAGAUGGAUAAAUUUUAUUUGACAGAAAUUUAAUUUGAAAAUACCAAAGGAAAAAACACAAUAAAUUUUUUCCGUGUUUUUGAUACUCCAUUUAUAUGCAUGCAUGUAGUGAUGGAAAAACUGUUUCGAAAUGUAGUGCAGAAGCGAAUUGAUGCCUCGGAAGGGAUGCAACCCCUCAAAGAAAUGACACACUGAUUCAUGAAAUGGUAUGCCUGUUUGAAAAAGACGCAUUCUUUGGAUGAACAAACAUGAUUUUCCAGAAAGGUUACACCUUUUGAGUGAACCAUUGUCACCUUUCAGAAGAGGCACCUGAUGGCUAUAAAAAUCUUCUUUCAUCUACAGGUUUUGGUAUGAAAAUUUUUUGAAAUACAAACUCCUCUUGUCUUCAAAAACAUUCUGUGUGAUCAAUCAAAUCGUUGAGUGAGUUAAUUGAAUCCAACAAUUUGAUGUAUCGCUAUUGUUCAGAUUGAAGACCAUUUUAUCCUGGGAGGAAGAUUCCAUAACCUCGGGUACAGUGAGGGGAAUUAUUCCUUAAGGACACUCCAUGAAGUCGGGGGAUUUGGUCUUAAAAUUCUGUUUCAUCUUUUUCUGAAAUUUAACAUACUUUUUGGAUAGAUUAUUUAUAAUUUUGUGUUGAGGAUAUUAAGGAACUUCAUAAGUAUUCUUGUUUAUACAUGAACUUGUGUUGAAGUUGUUGUUGCAUUUAUACAGAUUCUACCUGAAACGUUAUAAAUAAUAGAUAAUAGUUUGACCUUUGAAGGGCAAAAAUAAAGUGCAUUGCUUGUUUGAAUAGUUGGAACUUGAAGUUGAUCAGGAACCCCUAUUGACAAAUUAAUAUAUAGUUGAAGAUUUUAUGAUACCUCAUGAGAAUGGUCUCCUACGGUGACCUUGAUAUACUGAUCAAUAACAUUUUGAUAAACAAUUUUGUUACUCGACAUGAACUUUGAAAUGCAAUUUUAUAAAUUGCUCAAAGUGAUUGUUUUUAAGCUCUGGUUUUAUCUUUGUCUGCAGUGGCGAUCCAGGAUUUAAGGCUUGUGGGUGCUUAAAAAUUAAAAAGUUAAAAAAUAAAAUAAAAAAUCACCUCAACAAGGUUUGAACUCGGGACGUCCCUUUAGUGGAGAAGCUUAAGAUCAGCUUAAAUGCCAAUGCACCCAACAAACUUUUAUUUCAGUGGGUGCAUUUAUAUAUUUUAUACCUAUUUUCGUAUAUCUUUUUAUGUAAUUAUACCUAUUUCACGUCGAUUUUACUUGGUGCCGGAGCACCCCGAAAUUAUAUGUAGGUUCGCCCGUUUGUCUGUUACACUUUCUUUCACAAAAUGAGCAUUCUUUGUUCAACAGUCUCUAGCAGAAAUGUAAGGUAAGACUGCGUACAAUAGACCCUUGUGGUCGGGCUCUUUUACGAAUCCUACACUUAACGGGAGCUUUAGUGCACCCAACUGUCUUUUUAAUCCAAGUAUUUCAAACCUCUUAUACACCGUCAUGGCUUUUAUUUCAAAAAUCGAUAAUGUGCUUUCCACGUUGGUUGGUUUAUAAGUUAGUAAUGUGCUUUACCACAUGUAAGUGAAAUCUUCUGUUACUGGCAUAAUAGUUAUAACUUACCAGGUUCUUCCCAUUCCAUUUGUUUUCUCCAGGAGGUUUGUAGAGAAAAUAAGAUCUCAAACUACUUUCUUUUUACCCCAAUGCAGUUUGUGUUUAAAAAGCUACAUUAAAAAUCAUAAGUAUAUUUGACAGCAAACGCCUUGAAGGUACGUUGUACAACUGAUCCUACUGCUACUUCACUCUCUACAUUUAUCAUUUAAACAUGUUUCCUAUUUUAAUAGGCAACCCAUCGAUAAUAGCCCCCUACAGGUAUAUUUGUCUACCACGUCGUCACUCGGCUACAACAAUUACUUUGAAGAGCUAAAUGGCUGCCAUCGACAUAGUUGCGAGCUGCAUUACUAAUGCCUUUGCCUUUAUCAGCUUCUCUAAAUAAUGUGGAUACAUGGACAGACAAAUGCUUCACCUAGGGAACUUCUUCCGUUAUAUUUGUACUGUUUAUAUGUAUAUUAACAGUUUACAACGUUCUAUUACUAUCCAAAAAAUAAUU
rnacentral:lncRNA from 1 species